UACGUAGGGUGCGAGCGUUAAUCGGAAUUACUGGGCGUAAAGCGUGCGCAGGCGGUUUUGUAAGCCAGAUGUGAAAUCCCCGGGCUUAACCUGGGAAUGGCAUUUGGGACUGCAAGGCUUGAGUGCGGCAGAGGAGACUGGAAUUCCUGGUGUAGCAGUGAAAUGCGUAGAUAUCAGGAGGAACACCGAUGGCGAAGGCGGGUCUCUGGGCCGAUACUGACGCUGGAGGAGCGAAAGCGUGGGAGCGAACAGG
rnacentral:rRNA from 1 species